rnacentral:rRNA from 1 species
UUGGUAAUUUGCCAGCAGCCGCGGUAAUACGUAGGGGGCAAGCGUUAUCCGGAAUUACUGGGUGUAAAGGGUGCGUAGGUGGUAUGGCAAGUCAGAAGUGAAAACCCAGGGCUUAACUCUGGGACUGCUUUUGAAACUGUCAGACUGGAGUGCAGGAGAGGUAAGCGGAAUUCCUAGUGUAGCGGUGAAAUGCGUAGAUAUUAGGAGGAACAUCAGUGGCGAAGGCGGCUUACUGGACUGAAACUGACACUGAGGCACGAAAGCGUGGGGAGCAAACAGG